CAGUCGCCGCGGGAAUACGUAGGUCCCGAGCGUUGUCCGGAUUUAUUGGGCGUAAAGCGAGCGCAGGCGGUUAGAUAAGUCUGAAGUUUAAGGCUGUGGCUUAACCAUAGUACGCUUUGGAAACUGUUUAACUUGAGUGCAAGAGGGGAGAGUGGAAUUCCAUGUGUAGCGGUGAAAUGCGUAGAUAUAUGGAGGAACACCGGAGGCGAAAGCGGCUCUCUGGCUUGUAACUGACGCUGAGGCUCGAAAGCGUGGGGAGCAAACAGGAUUAGAUACCCGCGUAGUCCCUGUCUCUUAUACA
rnacentral:rRNA from 1 species